GAUGAACGCUGGCGGCGUGCCUAAUACAUGCAAGUCGAGCGAACGGACGAGAAGCUUGCUUCUCUGAUGUUAGCGGCGGACGGGUGAGUAACACGUGGAUAACCUACCUAUUAGACUGGGAUAACUUCGGGAAACCGGAGCUAAUACCGGAUGAUAUUUUGAACCGCAUGGUUCAAAAGUGAAAGACGGUCUUGCUGUCACUUAUAGAUGGAUCCGCGCUGCAUUAGCUAGUUGGUAAGGUAACGGCUUACCAAGGCAACGAUGCAUAGCCGACCUGAGAGGGUGAUCGGCCACACUGGAACUGAGACACGGCACAGACUCCUACGGGAGGCAGCAGUAGGGAAUCUUCCGAAAUGGGCGAAAGCCUGACGGAGCAACGCCGCGUGAGUGAUGAAGGUCUUCGGAUCGUAAAACUCUGUUAUUAGGGAAGAACAUAUGUGUAAGUAACUGUGCACAUCUUGACGGUACCUAAUCAGAAAGCCACGGCUAACUACGUG
rnacentral:rRNA from 1 species